rnacentral:rRNA from 1 species
AUGAACGCUGGCGGCGUGCCUAAUCCCUGCAAGUCGAGCGAACAGACGAGGAGCUUACUCCUCUGACGUUAGCGGCGGACGGGUGAGUAACACGUGGAUAACCUACCUAUAAGACUGGGAUAACUUCGGGAAACCGGAGCUAAUACCGGAUAACAUGUUGAACCGCAUGGUUCAACAGUGAAAGACGGUCUUGCUGUCACUUAUAGAUGGAUCCGCGUCGCAUUAGCUAGUUGGUAAGGUAACGGCUUACCAAGGCAACGAUGCGUAGCCGACCUGAGAGGGUGAUCGGCCACACUGGAACUGAGACACGGUCCAGACUCCUACGGGAGGCAGCAGUAGGGAAUCUUCCGCAAUGGGCGAAAGCCUGACGGAGCAACGCCGCGUGAGUGAAGAAGGUCUUCGGAUCGUAAAACUCUGUUAUUAGGGAAGAACAAAUGUGUAAGUAACUAUGCACGUCUUGACGGUACCUAAUCAGAAAGCCACGGCUAACUACGUG